AGGAUGCAGGUGCCGAAUCAGAAGAUGACCAAGCACCAAUCUGGGAGUCACCCUCCUUGAGAAGAAGUUCUGUACAACUUUGUAUAGCCUUUGAUGUAUACAGUCAGGAUGCGUGUCACCCGUGCAAGUGUGAAAGAUAAAAGGCACAUGGGAGAGGACACAAGCAGAAAGGAAAUGCUGACAACCAGAACAAGUUUAGGCUUAGUGACACGAGGUGGAGGAUCACCGUGACCAGGUGACCACACUAUAGGUGUAGAUAUUGGCCUUGACUUCUCAAAAGACCAGCAUCCUGGGGAGACAAGGGCCAAGCAAAGAUGGAAAGAGGGAGAGAAACAACAUCUGCUACCAGUCAUUCCCAGUGGACAGACUCUGGAGGCUGGAAGGUGACUAUUGUGGGCCUGAUAGACCUACAAAGUAGGGAAGAUGUUUGUCAACUGAUCAACGACCUUGUGAUUUUGGUGCAGGGGUUAUGAUUAGAAUCCUACUGUGUCCUCUCCAUGGUCCUCCCCCUUAGCUCUGCCUCUGCAUCCCUGUCAAGAGCACUUUCCCCAUGAACUGACUCUGGUGCUAGCUAAUCCACUGUUAAACUUUUCCGUCCCCAGCACUCAGAAACCAUUUAAUUUUCAAAAAGUGUGUGUAUGUGUGUGUGUGUGUGUGUGUGUGGUGUAUUUCUGGGCACAUGUGUAUGUGUAUGGCAUGUGUGUGGAGAUUAGAGGCUAGCUCUGAAAGUCAUUUUCCUCCUCCCUUCAUGAAAGGUGUUUGCAUGGGCUCCAGGAUCUGACUCAGGCUGCCAGGCUUAUGCAGCAAGGGCCUUUACCCCUUAAGCCAUCUUGCUGCCUGCAGCAGCCGCGUUUGAAGUGGUCAAGGUCAGAUGUUUGGAGUAUUUGAAGGGAGAAAGAUGAAAAGAUAUCCUCGUGCUCCAGAUACUGCUGGGUCCUGGCAAGAUGUACAGGUUUUUGCAAGAUAACGUAAAUGCUGGCUUUGAAACUCUCAAGAGUGCAGGAGCCCAGAGCUGAGCUAUUUCCCCAACAUAGCCACUGCGUGAGCCAGUUCCCGAGAACCAGCUAUGCAGAGGAGAGUGGAAAGCAGUUGUAUAGCCAGCCUGUAACAGUAAAUGCCGUGACUCGAGGUGAGUGGUGGGACGGCCAGUGCUCUGGGUACUCUAGAAGCUAAGGCUACUGGUGAAUGGGACUGAGUGCUACUGUCCAGGUACCCACGUGCGGCCAUCCCUCUAGGCACGGUCUGUGUCUGGUCCGCAGCUCAGGCCAGGCCUUUACUUGGUACAAAGGACAGGAGCGACACUCUCCCAGAGAGGUGUCACUACUCUGAUCCAUCAUGGAAAGUGGGUUCAGAUCUGAAGUGUACGAGUGACCUCCAGAGCCCGCUUCAGGCUAAGCACUCACCAUUUGAAUGUGAUGGAGAUUGCAUGAGACGGACCAUUCGAGAACCCACAGACCUGUGCACCUGGCACUGUUAAACUGUCUCCAUUUUAAUGGCCACUUUUCCAGGGAGCAGUUAGGUGCAAUCUCUCUGAAAUUGCCUGUGGAUGACUUAGAGCGGGCAAAAUGCAGAUAGAACUUCCUAGAAGAGCCAUUUCCAAUAACACUCAAGCCUUAGCUCUGACAGGAACCUACAGGGACCAAGAGGAGAGUGCCUGGAUACCCCACAUCAGCCCUCUGGGCAGGAAAGACACCAGGGCAGUCGCUCUGUCAACCUCCCCACAUAGCACCUGAUUGGGAGAUGUUCUUAGUUUCUUGUCCAUCCAUGCAGGUGUAAGGGAGAUGGACAUUGAUGUGAAAGCCAUCACAUCAAGAUGGCUAUGGAAUGACCAAGAUGCUAUGGUAAGAUGAGGAAACCUGAAUGGUCUUGGGAUGCAGGAGCUCUGCACUAAGUCCAGUUUCCUCAAGGAGAAAUAUGCUUAAGGAUAUGUGCUAUACACAGGACAUGGAUGCACUCCAGAGGUCACCACCUUUCUGCCCAACUGUUCAAUGGUGUGUCCAGCCUACUAGCCAGCCAGCCAGCCAGCCAACCAGCCAUCUGUCCAUUCAUCCAUCUAGCCAUCCAUUUGUCCAUGUAUCUGUCAUCCAUUAUUUAUCUGUCUACCCAUCAAGCCAUUCAUAUAUUUCAAUCCAUCUAUCCAGCCAUCCACCCACUCAAUCAUGUUACACCAGGCUACCACUGACCUUCUGUCUGUUCAGUGGGGAGAGAAGUAUGCAGAAAUCCCAUGAGUGUUUGGGGGCAGUUAUAGGAAUGCUACAAAGGUUUCCCAUGAGGUCACAGAGCAGAGCAUAGUUAAAUUUGUGUUUACUUAAUUAGUCCUAGAAAAUGACCCUGCUUCAUACCUCUACCUUUCCUUUACAAAGAUCUUAAAUCCAUCAAUUGAGCAGUGAGCUGUCAAAUUACUUCUUAUACCCGAGCCUUGCUUAUGCCAUCUGUAAACAGGGGAUGGUGUCACACCUUUGCUUCUGGAUCUUGUACUAUCUAAAUGAUGUAAAGAUAAAGGACCAUGAUGACUGGCAUGAGCUUUAGAGACUGCAAAGCGUCCUAGCAACGCAGAGACUCAUUCUCUUUAUCACACUUAUUAAGUAGCUGGAGAUUAAUAACAGACCAUGGAGAUUGAGAAUUGAAUUAACUGCCGUGGGCUAGAUUCUAUUAUCAUAAUGAUAAUUGUGUGCUCAUCCAAUGAAUAUUGGCCAACUGCCUUCUACAAUCAAGCACCUUUGAAAACUCUCCUUCCUGGGUAAGAGCCAUGUAGUCUUUGCUUUAAGAAGCCAUAGGAACAAUACCAGGCUGUUGGACCCAGGUUCCACGGAGAGGAGUGGAUGAGCUACCCUGCGUGUUGUAUUGUUGAUGAGUGGAUAUCGGAGCAUAGCAUGUGGAGGAGUCCCACAAGCAUGGUCUGAGCACUUCACACUCUGUGUCCAUACAUGUUCCAUGCCUGUGAGUGCUCUGAGCCUGUGAUGCUCUGCAUCUGUGAGUUGUUCACAGUGUCAUGUGGGAAUGUGCC
rnacentral:lncRNA from 1 species